GACGAACGCUGGCGGCGUGCUUAACACAUGCAAGUCGAACGGGCCUUGUCCCCUUUUUUUUUGGGGGUGGGGUUAGUGGCGAACGGGUGAGUAACACGUGAGUAACCUGCCCCUCACUUCUGGAUAACCGCUUGAAAGGGUGGCUAAUACGGGGUGUUCUGGCCUGCUCGCAUGGGUGGGUUUGGAAAGAUUCGACCGGUUUUGGUUGUUUUGGUGGGGGAUGGGCUCGCGGCCUAUCAGCUUGUUGGUGGGGUGGUGGCCUGCCAAGGCUUUGACGGGUAGCCGGCCUGAGAGGGUGGGCGGUCACACUGGGACUGAGACACGGCCUAGACUCCUACGGGAGGCAGCAGUGGGGAAUAUGGCACAAUGGGCGCAAGCCUGAUGCAGCGACGCCGCGUGAGGGAUGGAGGCCUUCGGGUUGUGAACCUCUUUCGCCAGUGAAGAAGGUCCUGCUCUUUGUGGUGGGGUUGACGGUAGCUGGGUUAAUGAAGCGCCGGCUAACUACGUG
rnacentral:rRNA from 1 species